rnacentral:rRNA from 1 species
AUUGAACGCUGGCGGCAGGCUUAACACAUGCAAGUCGAGCGGGGGAAGGUAGCUUGCUACCGGACCUAGCGGCGGACGGGCGAGUAAUGCUUAGGAAUCUGCCUAUUAGUGGGGGACAACAUCUCGAAAGGGAUGCUAAUACCGCAUACGUCCUACGGGGGAAAGCAGGGGAUCUUCGGACCUUGCGCUAAUAGAUGAGCCUAAGUCGGAUUAGCUAGUUGGUGGGGUAAAGGCCUACCAAGGCGACGAUCUGUAGCGGGUCUGAGAGGAUGAUCCGCCACACUGGGACUGAGACACGGCCCAGACUCCUACGGGAGGCAGCAGUGGGGAAUAUUGGACAAUGGGGGGAACCCUGAUCCAGCCAUGCCGCGUGUGUGAAGAAGGCCUUAUGGUUGUAAGGCACUUUAAGCGAGGAGGAGGCUACUUUAGUUAAUACCUAGAGAUAGUGGACGUUACUCGCAGAAUAAGCACCGGCUAACUCUGUGCCAGCAGCCGCCGUAA